GGAGAAAAUAAAAUUAACGGUCUAGGAUUACAGCACAUAUCUGCAGAAUGGUGCAGAUUACAGAUUUACUGUAAAUUGCAGUGCAUCUCGGGAAAAUAAAGAAAAAAGCGGGGAUUACAAUUUAAAAUAUUUAAGACAACGACAGGCUCGUGAUGCAUAUCAGUCUCUGAGGAAAGCGCGUGGACAGCAGUUUCACCAAGAGGACGCGAGUCAGCGGCUUUUUCAACAUUUAUGUGUCUGCCACUCCCGCCAUGAUUCAGACUGUCCCACUGUCUGAAAGCCUGAGAUUGAUAGUACCGGUCCAACUGACUGAUCAGCGGGGGUGUGAGCGUGGAGGGCCAGGUUGUCAGUGAGGGGGGGUCCUUUGAGCUGGGACUUGCUGUUCUAAUGUCAACUCACUACAACUUUAACCUGCAAUACCAGGACCAGGCUGCAUGCUCGUUGGAGUUCAUUCAGAGGAUCUGCAUGGGGACUAAUCCUGAGAGAGGAUCAAAGGCACCCAGCAGAAAACUGGAAAGAUGGUCCAGAAGAAACCUUCAACAGUGAACCCGCAUGUCUGCACCCUGAUCAGGAAGCUCAACGACUUCAAGUGGGACUUUGUUUGAGUUUCUCUUGUAUUGUUUUGUUUAGCUGCAGAUAUCAUUUGUCAUUCAUCAAUUAACAAU